GGGAAAGACAGAUGCUAGAGUAUGAGAAGCGAGCCGGGGGGCUUCAUACUUCUUCAACAACGCGGAACGCCAUUAACUGGCAACAAACAACGUUCUCUUGCUGCUUAAUAAAAAGUGAGGCGCUCCCAUUCCAUCGCCUAUGUGGCAUGACUAGGGCUCAACUUUAGUGGGAUACGCCGGGGCUUCCGCCUGGAGUCGAAGGAAGAAAAUCAAUCAGGCUAGGUAACGGGUCAGCGCGUCACUCCGUGUAUCCGGUGCCGAAAUUUAAAUGAGUGACUGCGUUCGGAGAUGCUCAUGUAUCGCUGUUUUCCUAAGGGGGUUCGAACCCCCUUGCCUCCAUCA
rnacentral:tmRNA from 1 species